rnacentral:rRNA from 1 species
AUCUUUAUAAUUUUACUAACAAAUCCACCUUCAAUAAAUUUUUCAUAUUUACAUCCAUUUAAAUACUUUUAUUGUAAUUCAUCUCUUCUUAAACAUUAGCUACACCUUGAUCUGAAAUAAAUUUAUUAAAAUUUAAGAAAAUUUUUAUUCUUUUAAAAUAUUCUGAUAACGACGGUAUAUAAACUGUCAACAAAUUUAAGUAAGGUCCAACGCGGAUUAUCAAUUAUAGGACAAAUUCCUCUGAAUAGAAUAAAAUACCGCCAAAUUUUUUAAGUUUCAAGAUCUUAUCUAUUAC